rnacentral:rRNA from 1 species
GACAGAGGGGGCAAGCGUUGCUCGGAAUUACUGGGCGUAAAGGGCGCGUAGGCGGGAUGGCAAGUCGGUCGUGAAAUCCCUCGGCUCAACUGAGGAUCGUCGAUCGAUACUGCCGUUCUUGAGGAUUGCAGAGGAGACUGGAAUUCCCGGUGUAGCGGUGAAAUGUGUAGAGAUCGGGAGGAACACCGGUGGCGAAGGCGGGUCUCUGGGACGGUACUGACGCUGAGACGCGAAAGCGUGGGGAGCGAACAGG